CCAGGUCAUGUCUAAAGGUCGUACGUUGGUCACGGCAAACCAAGGACCUCCACAAUAUUAUAAUUCAGAUGUCAAUAAGCACUUUUAACCCUCUUGGAUUUCAUUUUUGUGCCUGACUAAAAAUAAGCAAACAGUAGAGCUUCAGGAGAGAUUCAGGAGUGUUUGUCAGAGGACCCCCCCUCUCUUCCUCACAUCCACUGCCAGGCAAGAACAUAAAGCCUGAGCGUAAAGCGUCUCACAUGGGCCCUUGAGGACCUGUUGGAACAAGCCUGAGCUGCAACAAAGAGCAUCCUGCAGCGUCUGACAAAACCAGGCCUUCCUAACCUCGGACACAACCGCGGACCGGCCCAAUUGUGAGCAAGCUCUUCUUUGUGUUCCUUUCCAUCUUCCACACAUUCCUGUUCACGGAUGUUCAACCUCGGUGUAGAAGUUUGACGGCGGACUAAUAAGGAAUGUCGGAAUUCCCUCAGUACAUUUGAUGUGAUCAAAACCUGUUUUCUCACAAAGGCAUAAUCGGUUCUAAGUGGCGUGCCGAAUGGAGAGCUAUCGGCGUGAAGAAGCGAAGGGAACGGUGAUUAUUAACAGUGGCAAAGACUCAAACACCUGCGAGUGAAGAAAGACAAGAUCCUACGGUGCAUAUCUACAGUCCCGUUUCUUAGGGGACGGUAAAUAAAUUGACGCAACGGAGCUUUACGGCCAGGCAACCUUAAUCCAAUCCUAAAAAAAAUGCAUGAUGAAAAGAAACACUUCCUUAAAGGGUACCAGAAAGUUUUUAAAAAAAAAAACACUUCAGCUCAAAUUACAGUGUUUUAAGAUGUCUCAUUUAACUGUUAUCGACCACACCUUGCUAAUAAGGUUGUUUGAUGAAGCGUUGAUGUUAAACAUUUAGGCACAAGACAUGACAGACAUGUUUUGCGUAAAUUUAGGUCAACGCCACUGGAAAGAACACACAUGUCAUCAGCAUUCUUAAGGAAUUUUUUUAAAGUUUUGUCAUCACAAAGAGUGGGGAAGGGUGAGCAAAUAUUUUGUGGGCAGAUGCAAGGUCACCGCAGGAUAGAGGAUUGCAAAAAAGUAUGUGGCUCUUUGAAAAUUUUGAGGGACACAACAACACCUUGGAGGCGUCAGUAAACCGAGAAAAGGGAUUAAUGUAAUCGUACAGUAUCAGAAUACACAAAUUAGUAGACUGAAUUUUCUUUUUUUUUACACUCAAAUUAGUUAUUUUGUUGAGAAACGCAAAAAUGUACAGAUUUACUUUUUUUUAAGCAUAAUUAUAUUUUAGGAUAAAAAAAUCAUUUUGGUUCAACAGCAGCUACAUAAUGGUGUGAUAGAGAUUGUACACAAAAAGAAAACAACAACCUACUGUACCUUGAUCAUUUAUUUUCAUCUCAUGCUCUGAUUGAUGAGCUAACAGCAAAUCAGUGGAUUCAACUUUCACCAACAGCGAAGGCUAUUUUGCAUACUGGCUUAUUCAUUUAAAUCGCACCUAAGAAGAUGGUUGGUUGAUCAGAGCAAACAAACAUUUGUAGCAAGUCCUGCACAUAGAAAUCAGCAUUCCCAAGUAUUAUAAUAAUUCUUUUUCAGCCACUGCACAAUUGGAUUCCAACUUAUUGGGUUGCGAAACAUUUGACCUAUUAUGGGUUAUUUAUAGAUAUAAACGGAUUCCAGCAAAUGGAAUACUUAUACUUUUGGCAAGGUUUUACCUAUUGUGGGUUAUUUAUAUCGGCAACUGAUUCAGCAAAUGCGAAUGUUUUAUUUAUCCUCUUGAAAAGGUAAACUACUGAUUUUGUGCACACUUUGUACGUAAUUCUCAUUGUCCGCCUUUCGUUACAUACAGAAAUAGUUACAUUGUCAAAGCUUCCUAGCAGAAAUUUGGCUAAAAAUUGUUGCGAGCCAUCUUCUUAUCAUUGAAACACACACACAGUUAUAACUUUUUGUUUUGUUUUUUGUCAGCCAUUCACUCAAUCAGUUAACUCUGUCAAUCCUGUUUUGUUGUUUGAUUUAAGUGCUCGCCGAGCUAAAUAUGAUCACAUCUUCGAUUGUUUUAAAAUCCAUUGUUCAAAUCA